rnacentral:tRNA from 1 species
GGCAUUGUGGCCUAAUGGAUAAGGCGUCGGACUUCGGAUCCGAAGA